rnacentral:rRNA from 1 species
ACCUACGCCCAUGCCACUCUGAACGCACCCGAUUUGUCUGACCUCGGAAGCUGAGCAGGGUCAGGCCCGGUUAGUACUUGGGUGGGAGAACAAUAGAACCCUACUCAGCAGUAAAAA